GACGAACGCUGGCGGCGUGCUUAACACAUGCAAGUCGAACGGUAAGGCCCUGCUUUUGUGGGGUGCUCGAGUCGCAAACGGGAGUGUAACACGUGUGUAACCUGCUCUUCACUUUGGUAUAACUUCAAGAAACUGGCUCAUAUUCCGGAUUCGCGCACCCUCUGCAUGGUGGGGGUUGGAAGGUUUCGGCGGUUGGGGAUGGACUCGCGGCCUUUCAGCGUGUUGGUUGGGUAGUGGCUUACCAAGGCUUUGACGGGUAGCCGGCCUGAGAGGGUGACCGGCAACAUUGGGACUGAGAUACGGCGCAGACUCCUACGGGAGGCAGCAGUGAGGAAUAUUGCACAAGGGGCGGAAGCGUGAUGCAGCAACGCCGCGUGCGGGAGGACGGCCUUCGGGUUGUAAACCGCUUUCGCCUGUGACGAAGCGUGAGUGACGGUAAUGGGUAAAGAAGCACCGGCUAACUACGUG
rnacentral:rRNA from 1 species